AUCGAACCAUGGAAGCAUGGCAGAGAUAUUUAUUAAACGAUCUUGCCUUCAUCCAAAUUCGCUCCAAACAAACCGUUUGGAAUUUAUGACUUUGGUGAUAUAUUUUGCCCGAGUUAGUCAAUGGAUAUCUCCAUGUAUGGUCAAGGUUCACCCAAAGAGCUUUGUGCGAGUCGUCCCUUUUUAUUCAGUUGUAGUCCAAAGUUGUAGUCAAUAAAUUCCUUAUUUUCCUUUAUCCUCUUGUUGUGGGGCAGACUGGCUCCUAGGUGCACAUGCAUGCUAAAAUCCUCCGCUGUUACCAUUUCUAAUACAAAGUAAUGUAUAGUUCUAACUUAUAUCUAUCAUUAGACUCGAUAUAGAGGCGCUAAAAACUACAACAUGGCUGACGGGGUGAAGACGCAGUCAAAAGAGGCAUGGGCAGGAGGAAGACUUCAGCACGUAAAUGAGACCACCCACACUGUAAACCCGAACAGUUCUACAAACUCAUAACAAUUGCCGUCAACUAAACCAAAGUGAGUUAAUUAGUUUCACCUGACACUGAAACAUUAAGUUUUCCUAACGAAUAAUAGCGUUUUGAGUUCACAGCGUUUAGUAAGUGUAAGUGAACACUGUCUCUCAACGUGAAAAGUCUAAGUUAACGGGCGUGCGUGAGGGGACGUGACGUCUGACGUCACUACCCCUAGCGUCUGACGUCACGUAUCCAGAAAAUUCAAGAUGGCUGCACGCUAGCGGGAGCGAAGAAAAGUGGAAAAAGAGUGUUAUUCGUCAAAAAACCCACACAACGACGGUCAUUUUUUAGCUGUGCUAUUGUAAAAUUGUCUUUUAUCUAUGUUUUGUGUUCCGGGGGACCCCGAUUUCAGAAUUUGAAAGUUUUGCGCUUGAAGCCGGUGUUUGCAGAGUUUCAUCGUAUUACAAAUGUGAAACUACGCAACCAGUUCUACUGUGAACUUGACCGCUACACACCAAAACUAGUUGCACUGUAUGGACAGAAGUCCUCAAGGACUGGAAAGGGAGCAGAGGCACUGCAAGAGAUGCUGAGAAUUUAAGACUUGGAGGAAGAACAUGACAUCAACAUGCGACGCACUCUGGUUCUUCAUUGACUUCCAGUGUAUCUCCGGGAGGAUGACACUGAAUUCUACAAAACCUGUAAUGUAAGUAUGUUUCUGCAGCCAGAGUUAUGCUUCAUUCUCUCUCUCUCUCUCACACACACACACAGUGACUGAUCUCUCUGUGCUUUGAGAGGAGAUUUGAGGAGCUGAGGAGGAGGAAGAAGGACAGGAGAGGAGGGGGGGAGGAAGAAGGAGCAGAGGAGAUGAUGAGGAGGAGGAGGAGGAGAGGGGGACUAUGCAUACUGGUGAAGAUGAGAUGGAGACCACUGGCGUUUCUCUCUGUGGCCCCUGACUCCACUGGUUCCAGCAGCUUCAGCCCGGAGAACAUAUCCAUCGGGAUAGAGGAUGAAGUUGUUAUGAGCGAACUUCCCAGCUUGGCUGAUGCAUUUGUGGUGCUGCUUGGUUUAAUCUAUGCAUUACACUUAGAUUAUCCAAAGAAACUCACUCACACAUUCACAUUCAUCCAGAAAGUCCUGCUGUGUCUGGAUGAUAAAGCACUGAAACCAUGCCUACUCUACCAGAAAAAUGAGUUGUUAAAGGAGUAAAGAAGCUGAGAAAUGCAUGCCUGCACUCAUUCACCAUGCAUAAAUGUGGUUCAGAUCAGCAUAAUUAUUGCAGCCAUGUUGUUCUACUGUUAACAUGUCUGAUUUUGAUAGACAUGUCUGUUAAAAUGUUGAAAGCACUUUUGCGUAUGCCCAGUGGGCUUUUUAUAAGUUUAGAAUGAGAGGUAAAUAUUUUGUUAAUUUUAUUGUACUGCCUCCUUGACCUCACUGAUCUGAGUCAGCCCUCAGUUGUAAUGAUGAUUCAGUUAUUUAUUUAUAUUAUAUUUUCUUUGAUUUAUUGUAUUUUAUUCUGUUUUAUUUGGUAUGUUUUUUUAUUUUCCUAGUUUGCACAAAUUUAGAUGUAUGUGCUGCUGCUUUCAUAAGUUGUUUUUUUUCUCCCUUGAGUAAAUACAGUGCAGAGAAAGGGAAGUUUGUUCAUCCCCAAUGAUUCAAAAUAGGCUGCUAAAAUAUAUUUGUAAAAAAAAAAAGAAAAAAGUUUGAAUCCAGGUGUUGCACUUUAAUGUUAUUCGACAUUUCAGUUUUACUAAGCCUGU